rnacentral:rRNA from 1 species
CAGCCGCCGCGGUAAUACAGAGGGUGCAAGCGUUAAUCGGAAUUACUGGGCGUAAAGCGCGCGUAGGUGGUUUGGUAAGAUGGAUGUGAAAUCCCCGGGCUCAACCUGGGAACUGCAUCCAUAACUGCCUGACUAGAGUACGGUAGAGGGUGGUGGAAUUUCCUGUGUAGCGGUGAAAUGCGUAGAUAUAGGAAGGAACACCAGUGGCGAAGGCGACCACCUGGACUGAUACUGACACUGAGGUGCGAAAGCGUGGGGAGCAAACAGGAUUAGAUACCCCGGUAGUCCCUGUCUCUUAUAC